rnacentral:rRNA from 1 species
UGAGGAAUAUUGGUCAAUGGGCGGGAGCCUGAACCAGCCAAGCCGCGUGAGGGAAGAAGGCCCUAUGGGUCGUAAACCUCUUUUGUCAGGGAACAAAAGCGAGUAUGUAUACUAGUCUGAGUGUACCUGAAGAAAAAGCAUCGGCUAACUCCGUGCCAGCAGCCGCGGUAAUACGGAGGAUGCGAGCGUUAUCCGGAUUUAUUGGGUUUAAAGGGUGCGUAGGCGGCGAUGCAAGUCAGCGGUAAAAGCCCGGGGCUCAACCCCGGCGAGCGUUGAAACUGCAGUGCUAGAGAAGGCGAGAGGUACGCGGAAUGCGCAGUGUAGCGGUGAAUGCUUAGAUAUUGCGCAGAACUCCGAUUGCGAAGGCAGCGUACUGGCGCCUGACUGACGCUGAGGCACGAAAGCGUGGGGAUCGAACAGGAUUAGAUACC